rfam:Roseburia sp. CAG:197 genomic scaffold, scf216
AACUCAGAUAGAGGUCGCGCAAGCUAUGAGUAUUCUGUGGGAUGUGACAGACACAGGCGAACACAGAGGAAAGGGGCGAGCGCCGAAGAGAUAAAAGGGCUGUACUUUUAUUUCUGGGCAUAUGGUAAAGAACCAUAUGACUGUCAACAUACAAAGUUGGAGAGCUAUCGAAUCU